AAGUCGAGCGGUAGCACAGGGAGCUUGCUCCUGGGUGACGAGCGGCGGACGGGUGAGUAAUGUCUGGGAAACUGCCUGAUGGAGGGGGAUAACUACUGGAAACGGUAGCUAAUACCGCAUAACGUCGCAAGACCAAAGAGGGGGACCUUCGGGCCUCUUGCCAUCAGAUGUGCCCAGAUGGGAUUAGCUAGUAGGUGGGGUAAUAGCUCACCUAGGCGACGAUCCCUAGCUGGUCUGAGAGGAUGACCAGCCACACUGGAACUGAGACACGGUCCAGACUCCUACGGGAGGCAGCAGUGGGGAAUAUUGCACAAUGGGCGCAAGCCUGAUGCAGCCAUGCCGCGUGUAUGAAGAAGGCCUUCGGGUUGUAAAGUACUUUCAGCGAGGAGGAAGGCAUUGUGGUUAAUAACCGCAGUGAUUGACGUUACUCGCAGAAGAAGCACCGGCUAACUCCGUGCCAGCAGCCGCGGUAAUACGGAGGGUGCAAGCGUUAAUCGGAAUUACUGGGCGUAAAGCGCACGCAGGCGGUCUGUCAAGUCGGAUGUGAAAUCCCCGGGCUCAACCUGGGAACUGCAUUCGAAACUGGCAGGCUAGAGUCUUGUAGAGGGGGGUAGAAUUCCAGGUGUAGCGGUGAAAUGCGUAGAGAUCUGGAGGAAUACCGGUGGCGAAGGCGGCCCCCUGGACAAAGACUGACGCUCAGGUGCGAAAGC
rnacentral:rRNA from 1 species